CGUAGGGUGCGAGCGUUGUCCGGAAUUAUUGGGCGUAAAGAGCUUGUAGGCGGUUUGUCGCGUCUGCUGUGAAAUCCGGGCUCAACCCCGGACUUGCAGUGGGUACGGGCAGACUAGAGUGUGGUAGGGAGACUGGAAUUCCUGGUGUAGCGGUGAAAUGCGCAGAUAUCAGGAGGAACACCGAUGGCGAAGGCAGGUCUCUGGGCCAUUACUGACGCUGAGAAGCGAAAGCAUGGGAGCGAACAGGAUU
rnacentral:rRNA from 1 species